rnacentral:tRNA from 1 species
UCCCUGGUGGUCUAGUGGUUAGGAUUCGGCGCUCUCACUGCUGCGUCACGGGUUCGAUUCCUGGUCAGGAAA